rnacentral:rRNA from 1 species
UGGUGGGUUGCCUUGUCAGGUUGAUUCCGGUGACGAACGAGACCUCAGCCUGCUAACUAGUGACGCCUUCUCCGGAAGGCGGCGCACUUCUUAGAGGGACUAUUGGCGAUUAGCCAAUGGAAGCAUGAGGCAAUAACA